AUUUGAAAUGUAGUCGCUGUCAGGGUUGAAUCAAGUGGGCUGUGCUGCUACCCUGCCUCAUUCUUCUGCCUUCACGCCUCGUAAGAGUGAUGACAGACCUAAUGCUCUAUUAAGUUCACCUACAACAGAAACAGUUCAUCAUUCCCCUGCAUAUUCUUUUCCUGCUGCUAUCCAGAGAAAUCAGCCUCAGCGCCCUGAAAGCUUCCUUUUCCGAGCAGGUGUCAGGGCAGAAACCAACAAAGGUCAUGCUUCACCCCUUCCUCCAUCUGCUGCACCUACCACUGAUCCUACAGAUUCCAUAACAAGGCAGAAUUCAAGACAGAGAGAAGAAGAGCUGAAAUUAAUAGAUCAACUGCGUAAACAUAUUGAGUACCGGUUGAAAGUGUCUCUGCCUUGUGAUCUUGGAGCAGCUCUAACUGACGGUGUUGUUCUUUGCCAUUUGGCCAAUCAUGUGCGACCUCGAUCUGUCCCAAGCAUUCAUGUUCCCUCACCAGCUGUACCUAAAUUAACAAUGGCGAAAUGCAGGCGAAAUGUGGAGAAUUUCCUAGAAGCUUGCAGAAAA
rnacentral:sRNA from 1 species